rnacentral:rRNA from 1 species
GAUGAACGCUGACAGAAUGCUUAACACAUGCAAGUCUUUGGCGAAGCUGUGCUUGCACAGCCUAGCCAAGGCGGACGGGUGAGUAACGCGUAAGGAACUUGCCCUGCAGUCAGGGAUAACAGACGGAAACGACUGAUAAGACCUGGUAAAGUCAGGCGGACUCAUGUCCAGCCUGAUGAAAAGAGAUGCUGCAGGAGAGCCUUGCGUCCUAUUAGCUUGUUGGUGGGGUAACGGCCCACCAAGGCGAUGAUAGGUAGCCGGCCUGAGAGGGUGGACGGCCACAAGGGGACUGAGAUACGGCCCUUACUCCUACGGGAGGCAGCAGUGGGGAAUAUUGGACAAUGGUGGCAACCCUGAUCCAGCAAUUCUGUGUGCACGAUGAAGGUUUUCGGAUUGUAAAGUGCUUUCAGCAGGGAAGAAAAAAAUGACGGUACCUGCAGAAGAAGCGACGGCUAAAUACGUG